AAUUGAAUUUAUUUCACUUUUUAACUUUGAAAUCACUCGAAUCUUCUCGUUCAAGCAAAGUUUGCAUCACCUGUUUUCGUUCAGGUGAUGCUGUUGAUGCUGCUGCUGCUGCUGCUGCUGUUAUCGUAACCAUUGGUGCUGUUCUUACUCGACCUGUUGACGCUGCUGUUGUUGCUGGUGCUAUUGCUGCUGUUGCUGCUGUUACUGAAGGACACCACCUCUGCCUCGAGGAUCACGGCCCCGGAGUUGCAUCGACUGCCUACUGGGCAUUCACUGUUAACCCUACAUGAGCAUUUUGCCUCCGUGCUGGGAUUAGAGGUGUUCACUGAAAUCUUUUUUACACUGGGCGCAUAGUUGAAUGAGACCCUUAAGUUGUGUCUAUUAAAUAAUCGUCCGUACCUAUGGGAUUGCGAGAAAUGUCUAUCCAAUAAUGUAAGGAAUAUCCUUCCCACGCAGGUUUUGAUGUUGGGUGAGAAGGUUGGGGAACAACAAAUAACCUUACGGUGGCGCUCUCUUUUGUGAAUGUUAGGUCCGGGCAUAAAGAAGAUACGGCGCUUAAGCCCGCUGGAUGCCAAAGCCUUGUUGUAAUAGGCGACUCAGCGUCGAAAAUUUCUGUAUUUGAGGAAGGUUCGAAAUCCUUUUACUGACACUCUUUACCAGGUUCUAAUACAAUAGGUGGGUGUAGGAAGUUGUGUUAAUGUACGACAGCCUUUCGUUUGGUUUGCGGUAGGGCCUGAAUGAACAGGUACCCAAAUCGAGCGUAACAUCUAAAAUGUUAGCCAUUGUAAGACUGAUCUCAACUGUAAUCUGAAGAGCAAAAGAGUUCAUAUGAAUUGGGUCCUUCUUAAGCCGAUAUAGGGUGUGCCCGUUUACGCUUCUAGAGAUGGCUAAAUCGUCAUCUCUGUAUAGAACCAAAAAGGGCCAACGGGAACCUUUUUGUUAAGGUGUCCAGUACAUAUAAUCCUAUUAGGUCGCAGAUAUCAGCGCUACUGAAUGCUCCCAUCGUCACGUCAAAGGAGCGUACUGAGUCAGUUUACUUGACCCAGGCCAAACCUUUGUUGAACAGCAGGGUUUUCCUGGCAUGCAUAAUUACAUUUCUAUCCUUAUCAUUAACGUCAGUAAAAUCCCUAAGGAGUAUAAGCGCCUUAACUAGUAACUCUUUCGAUAUAGACGAAUAAAGCUCCACUAUAUAGAAUUGGGUGAACCUUGCCCUACCUCUACCUUGGUUUGCCUUAAACCAUGAAAUAAUUUCAUUGGUAUUGCGCCAUAAGGAGAGUUUAAGUGUCCUCAUUAUGUCAUCUUUGAUCCCUCUCAAAAUAUGCUUGCUCGCCAACCUAAUUUCCGAUUUAGCCAUAACUGAGUAGACUCCAGCUUUGAACACACGUUACUGAUUUUUCAAGCAUUAUCCAAUGCAUCCUUUUUUUAUGUAAACGCUAUGCUGCGUGGUUUUGUUACGCUUUCUAAUAGAUCAGUGAGCACAUACACAUUUCCUGCGUUGGUUCAACGCUUUCUAUUUUAUAGUCAACGGUGUACCGUAAAUUUUGAAGAGAAGUAUAGUGUAAACUUGCAUAUCGUCACAACUUCCUCAAGAAUGUCACUUCGUACAUCAGCUUAACGUGACUGCAAUGUUGAUCAGUAUGCUAAUGCAGAUGAAACGUGAAUAGCAAUAAACUGCAAGUAACUAAUGCAAUUACGAUAAAUAAAUAAUAUAAGGACAUUGAACUAGCAGAGACAAUAGAACAACGGAUUAAACGAGAUACUUCUGCCGACUUUGCUUUUUCAUCUUUCGAGUGCUGCCGAUACAACCUAUUGACAGUGUCAAUGCGGCGGAUUGUAUUAUCUGACACGAAAAAUGAUGAGACAAGCCAACUACAGUGACGCAGAAAAAUCACCAGCUUCUUAAACAUGACAUUGUCGUUCGUGCGCAGACUCUGAAAAAGAGUUGGUGGCCUCUAGCAGAGUUGUGUCACCUAUGACCAAAAGAAAGAAACGCUCUUAAUAACCAGAUGUUGUCAGGACAGCUGAGUUUGUUGAGCAAAUCUAGAAUAACAUUAACAACCCGUGCAAGUCGAUGAGGUUCAUUGCUGGGCACCUCAGUGUCGCAGCCCACUAUCAGACACGUGUGCACGAGAUAUCAAGUAAAAAUUUUAUACGUUGAAGAAAAAGCAGUAUAUGUCCGACAAGACCCCGGUGACCUAUAUAACUACAUGAUUCCCUUCAGCCUUCUGUGGUUUCUUUAUUCCAGACCCCUGAUUACUGCAUUUAUGGAGUUGUCAGCGGGAAGAAACCGACGGGCAGCCCCACAGUUCCAACGACUCGUUGGAACCAAGGCGAUGGACAACCGUAAGUGAGAAAGCAGAUAUACCCAUAUCAAGUGAUUUCGAUCUCUAAGAUAUUCCUCUUAGAUCUCCUCAGUGGGCCCUACUGAUUGGGGAAAAACUGCUACUCGCCUUGUACAAGCAUGUCAAAACCGUCGAGAGGCUAGCGUCAAAUUCAAACGGUAGUAGUGUAUAAUUAUAAAAAUCUAGUACCCUUAUUUAUAUAUUUGCUUUUUUUUUUUGCUAACUAGUCACCUAUAUUAUUAUUAUUUAUUAAUUAUAAUAUCAUUAUUUAUAAUCAUAUACUACUACCGUUUGAAUUUGAAGCUAGCCUCUUAACUGUUUUAGCAUGCUUGUACAAGGUGAGUAGUAGUUUAGCCCCAAGCAGCAAGACCCGUUGAUGAGAUCUUAGAGGAAUAUCUCGGAGAUCAAAAUCACUUGAUGUUGGUAUAUCUGCAUUCUCAUUUUCGAUUCUCCAUCGCCUUGGUAUGUUGACUAUUUUUUCUCGCUUCCCCAAUUUCGUCAGCUUGUUAACAUUCAGAGUUUGUGGUUAAUUCAGUCGAUUUUGACUCCUAUAUCUAGCAAAACUGGUGCUAUCUAGUACCCUUAUUUAGAUAUUUGCCUUUUCUUUUUUUUUUUGCUAACUGUCACCUAUAUUAUUAUUAUUUAUCAAUAAUAUCAUCAUUAUUUAUGAUACAUAUAUAUAUAUAAUAUGACAUGAUGGGUUUAGUUCACUUGUGUUCUAAACGAAUAGGCAUGCUGGAUAAGUGCUAUAGUAGGUCCACCUUUAGGUCCCAAGAUUACUGCUAAGGCUGGAUCUAGGGAUCCGUGUUAGGGUUCCGUUAUAGCAGGUAUAUAUUAUAUUAUAUUAUAUUAUAUUAUAUUAUUGGAAAAAAUCAAAGCCAAGUCACAACGAGUAUCUCAAGUCAUUAAGAAUAAUCUAAUUUAAUUUGAAGUCUAAUUAAAUUAUUCUAAAUGACUUGAGAUACUCGUUCUGCAUUGGUUUUGAUUUUUCCUAUAAUAUGAUAUAAUAUAAUAUUAUAUUAUAUUAUAUUAUAUUAUAUUUAUAUUAUAUUAUAUUAUAUUAUAUUAUAUUAUAUAUAUAUGUGUGUGUGUGUGUGUGUGUGUGUGUGUGUGUGUGUGUGUGUGUGUGUGUAAAUGAGUCGAAGAGUGGAAGUAAAGAUUCAGUGAUAAAUAUACGGAGAAACACUAAAAUGGUGAGAAUUGCCAACUGCAACUGCCAGUCAAGUGGGAAAAAUAAUUAUUCAUAAUUAGUAAUUAUACAUAUAUACGCACAGUACUUAGGCGAUUUUACCAAUUGUUUCAUACAACAGAUAUUGGCCAAAACACAAUCCCAGCACUGGUCAGAAGGGCUGGUAGGAAGAAUAUAACAACGGUUCUUGCACAUUGGAAGUCACGAAGUGUCACAUCUGGUCUGUGAAUGUUGUGGAAAAUCGGAACGAAAAAAGCAGUGGAGGAAGUUCACCAAUUUUAGGGUCUGACGGAGCCCAAACCUCUGUAGACCUAAGCAUAGCCGAUUUCUCCAAGGAAAAGAGAAACAGAGACAGAGAUAGAGAUAGGAUGAGAAAUGGAGAGAGACAGGGAAACGGUGAAGAAGAGAAUGAAAAAGAAGAAUCAACCGCUUUAGAAGACUAGUACUUUAUUUUUCGAUCUCGAAAGGAUUGAGGGCAAAUAUGCUACCUUCUCGUCAUAUAAGCAAAUGUAUUUGUCUACACUCCAUUAGUUGUUUAUAACAUCAUCCAAACAUGUUAUUUUGUGUUCUGGGACGUACAUGUUGCACUGUUAUAUAGUGCUACGUUGUCUCCUUUCACUUUUCAUCUUAGUUUACCAGUGUUUUAUUUUACAAUAAACAGGCCUAUGCUUUUCAUUGUUCUGAGCUAGUAGCUAAUUUUAAUCAUACAUCCCAUAUAGUUUCUUUUUCUGCAUCCCAAUCGCCAAAAAUGUUUAACGAACUUUGUGUCUUGUUCGAAUUGUAUCAAUUGGCUAACAACCUAAGAAAUGGUUAUUGAUGCACUGAUGUCGUGAUCAGCUGAUUAGCCGAUGUUAAUGUCUCGUCAAAAAUUUAGGAAAAGAGAACAUCUAUAGAGGAGUAAUAGAGAAAUUUACACCUCUUACAUCUAGGCUAUAGACGAUCAUUUGUACCAGGAUUGUGUUAUAGGAACAUUGGAUCGGGUGAUCAUAGGUACACUGGAUUGUGUAAGAAGAGAUUUGCAUAAACGCCUAGAAAUGCAGGGAUUCUUCAGGAAGGAACAAAUCAAGCUGAUUCGCAUUCUUCAAAUAUAAUCGAUAAAUGGUACCGUGAAAAUUUGUAAAAGAUUCCAGAGAUUUUAUAUUUGAGUUCCAGAGUGAACAUAUGCACACAAUAACAUUUUAGUCAUGGAUUACACACACAGAGAAAAUACACACACAUAAACAGUAAUGAAGCACACGCAUUUGUGUACUAAAUUGACAUGCACACCCACAACAUGUGUACAAGUUUCUCCACACACACAUACACCAACACAUUCAUGCAUACGUGCACAUAUACAUAACGACAGAUUUCGAUAUGUACUUAUUUAAUACAGGUACAUUAUACUGCAUUCUAGGAAUACAGGUUUUUGAAGCAAGAAUAAAGUAAGCUGACUUUCUGCCUUCAAAUCCAACGGAUUAGUGGCACAAUGAAUAUUCAUAAAACAUUCCAAAGAUUCUUCAUUUCAGUGUCUUGGAAACUACGCAUGCACGCCUCUUUGUAUGUGGCAAACAUAGACAUAACGAAUAAUCAAGAACACGCACAUCGUGAACAAAAGAGGUAUGCAUACCUAUUAUAUCAAUGCAAGAUAUACACACAUCCUAUCUCCCAUAUUCACAAACCCCUGUAACUUUUUGGUUCAAGAAUCAACUUUAUGAGUUGUCGGCUUGAACUCUGCAAAGAACUUCAAUAAAGCAUAACGAAAAAUUUUCCUGCAUAUACAAACACAAUAAUCGACGGGGUUGUGUAUUUAUACUUUAACAUUUAUAUGGUUGACAUUUCUAUUGUAGGUGAAAUAUUUGAUAUAUUACAUGGAAACUUUGCACUCUGGAAACAAUACUAAAAAUAUUCUAAUUAAACUGGGGUAGUUUUGGUGAAGCAGUGUGUGAUAUUGUAUUUUCUUUUCUUUUAAUUCAAACUGUCGACUUUAUCCCAGACACCCUACAUAUGCUCAGAUGUGUGAGCAACGACCUUUUCCCAUCCCUCGCUUUUCCUCAUGUCCUGAGGAAGAGGGUCAUAACCACGAACUAUAAUAAUAUAACGUAAAACUACGA